rnacentral:rRNA from 1 species
UUGAACGCUGGCGGCGUGCCUUACACAUGCAAGUCGAACGGUAGAGGGGCAACCCUUGAGAGUGGCGAACGGGUGAGUAAUGCAUCGGAACGUGCCCAGUCGUGGGGGAUAACGCAGCGAAAGCUGUGCUAAUACCGCAUGUGAUCUGUGGAUGAAAGCGGGGGAUCGCAAGACCUCGCGCGAUUGGAGCGGCCGAUAUCAGAUUAGGUAGUUGGUGGGGUAAAAGCCCACCAAGCCGACGAUCUGUAGCUG